AUGGAAAGAAUAUAAGCUUAUAUGCAGACAUGUUACCUUACUUGCUGAAUACAGACAUACUACCUUACUUAUGGAAUUUCUUUCAGUUCCUCAAACUGAAAUAUGCCUCAAAGAACAUUUUAAAAGUUCAAAAUAUUCUCAGAUCUGUCCUUUCAUCUGGUAUCAGCAAUAACCCUAUGAGCACAGGGCAGGGGAACAGGCAUUAUCCACUCUCUCCCUCAAAAGUUCUCCACAAUAUGCCCAUUUUUCUACUAUACAUAGGCUUAUAUCCCAAACAAGUUACAAUUAUUCAUUCAACAAAGAUUUUUUUAAGCUCCUAUUAUGCGUUAGGCAAUGUUUUAAGGCAUUAGUUUUCUCCCUCUAUGCUUUCUCAAAGUGUUUCUCCUAUUUAACUUUUUUAAAAAAAUAAGGGUGAAAUAUUACACAAUUUACUCAAAAGUCAUCCUAAAACUAAGGCAUUUUCUACGUGCCUUUUCCUCAGAAUUUUCCAUUUCUGUAUUUAUUCACAGUCAUGGAAAUAUCAGUUAUCCAUCAGCUCAAAUUAUAACCUCUAUGAGAGCAAUCCCCAAAUUUCCCUCUCUAAAUCUAACUUCCUUCCUAAACGCCAGGCUUAAAUUAACAAAGCUCUCCCAAGAAUCUUCACCUUAAGGUGAAUAUAUCAACAUCUUAAAAAAUUAGCAAAUAUCUCCACAAACACACAGACACUCUCACACUUCUCUUCCUCUUUAUUAAUAACACCAGCAUCCUUCCUAGUGUCCAGACCUGGAAUUUCAAAAGCAACUUUGAUUCCUUCUUGUGGUGUUAUUUUAUUUAUGUAUGUGGUUGUGUUUAUAUAUCUAUAUUUUUAAAAAUAGGUUUUCGUCCACAGUUCCUGGCUUAUAACUCCCAUAGCCCUUUGUGUUAGUCUGUCUUGAGACUGGGUAAUUGGUAAAGAAAAGUGGUUUAUUGCGGCUCAUGGUUCUGCAGGACUAUAGAGGAAGCAUGGUGCUGGAAUCUGCUUUCAGUGAGGCCUCAGGAAGCUUUUACUCAUGGCAGAAGGCAAAGGGAGAGCUAGCACAUCACAUGACCAGAGAGAGCAAGAGAAGGGGGGAGGAGCCAGGCUCCUUUAAACCAGUAGUCCCCAACCUCCGGCACCAGGGACUGACUGAUUUAGUGGAAGACAAUUUUUCCACAGACAAGGGGUCAGGGAAGAUGAUUUCAGGAUGAAACUGUUUCAGCUCAGAUCAUCAACCAUUAGAUUCUCAUAAGGAGCACACAACCUAUAUCCCUCACGUGAGGAGUUCACAAUAGGGUUUGCGCUCCUGUGAAAAUCUAAUGCUGCUGCUGAUCUAAGCUCUGCUGAUCAGAAGGUGGAGCUCAGACAGUAAUGCUCGCUUGCCUGUGGCUCACACCUCCUGCUGUGUGGCCCAGCUCCUAACAGGCCAUAGACAGGUACCGGUCCAUGGAGUAGGGGUUGAGGACCCCUGCUUUAAACAACCAGCUCUCACUUGAACUCAUUACCACAGGGGAGGGCAGCAAACCAUUCAUGAGGGAUCCACCUUUAUGAUCCAAACACCCACCAGACCCCACUUCCAACAAUGGAGGUCUCAUUAAAUACGAGAUUUGGAGGGGACACACAUUCAAGCUAUAUCACCCUUGUUAUAGUCUUUUAUUACAAUGUUUGGUGUGUUAGGCCUCAGGAAACAAUAUCCCUGACCUUCUCCUGCCCUCCUUUCAUCUGCACCAAGGCAGGACUCUAAUUUUCCUCCACUUUUCUGACUGUGGGUCAUAAUGCCCUCAUUUCAGAGAGGGUCCUAUGGGGGGUCUUCCCAUUGGGGAAAGUGCUGAUGUCAUGAAAAUUCCAUAAAAAACCAAAAGGACUGGCCUCACAGCUGAACAUGUGAAGGUGGGCAAGAAGGUGAGCAAGAACUCAUCCACUUGCUGGGAGAGUGGCAUACCCUAACUCCACGGAAACAGAGGCUCCUACAUUUGGGACCCUUCCAGACCUUGCCCUAUGGCAUCCAGACCUUGCCAUAUGGCUGUUUACUUGUAUCCUUUAACAUAUCCUUCAUAAUAAACCAGUAAACGUGUUUCUCUGAGUUCUGUGAGUAACUCUAGCAAAUUAAUCCAACCCAAAGAGGGGGUUGUGGAAACCCCAACUCGAAGCCAUCUGGUAGAAGUUCCAGAGAUGCAGACUUACAACCAGUGGGAAGGAGGGCCCAGACCCCAAGACUGAGCCCUCAGCCGUUGGGAAUCUGACACUAUCUCUAGGUAGUGACAGAAAUGAAUUGAAAGCCAAUUAGCUGGUGUUCACUGUAGAACUGAUUGCUUAUUUGGCAGGGAGAAAUACUGUGCAUUUGGACACAGAAGUCCUCUGUGUUGAUUGUUGUGGUGUAAGAGCAGAGGAAAAACAAUUUGGGAGUUUUUCCUAAACACUUCUUAUCUUCCUAGACAUAAAACUACUGCCAACUUGUAUACUGCACCUCCAGUAUCAUUGAAAUUAUUCUCGUUUUCCAUUCCUUCAUUCAUUACUACCCUCUCCAUAUCAUACUGUUCCAACCCUUCCUACAACUAGGGAAAGAUUUAUCUCCCUAAUAGGCUCUUUCUUCCUAAACCACAGGCUUAAUCAUUUCACUCUAAUAGCUCAGAAGUGUACAAAUUGCUAUUCAAUAACAAAUAAAGCACAAACUAUUCACCAUGGCAUUCAAAAGCCACCAUGAAAGGCUCCAGCCUCCCUUCUAGCCAAAUCAGACUAUGUGUAACUCUACAAAUACUACCUUGUUUUCACCUUGUCUUUUCACAAUGCAGUCAUCAUUCAAUUUUUGCUUGUCAAAACACUAUGUUGAGUUACAGGGAAAAGUAUACUUGCAUAAAGCCAUUUUUAAUCCCCUUUAACUGAAUACAUUACCUCCCUCUGAUAUGGUUGCUCUGUAUCCCUACCCAAAUCUCAUGUUGAACUGUUACUCCCAGUGUUGGGGGAGGGACCUGGUGGUAGGUGAUUGAAUCAUGAAGGCAAAUUUCCCCUUGCUGUUCUCGUGAUAGUAAAUUCCCGCAAGAUCUGAUGGUUUAAAAGUGUGUGGCGCUUCCCCACUUUACUCUCUCUGUCUCCUGUCACCAUGUGAAGAUGUUCUUGCUUCCCCUUUGCCUUCUGCCAUGAUUGUAAGUCUUCUGAGGCCUCUCCAGCCAUGACUCCUGUACAGCCUACAGAACUGUGAGUCAAUUAAACCUUUUCUUCAUAAAUUACCCAGUCUCAGGUAGUUCUUUGUAGCAGUAUGAGAACAAGGUAAUACAGAAAACUGGUACCAGAGAAGUGUGGCACUGCUAUAAAGAUACCUCAAAAUGCAGAAGCAACUUUGGAACUGGGUAAUAGGCAGAGGCUGGAACAGUUUGGAGAGAUCAGAAGAAGACAGAAGAUGUGGGAAAGUUUCAGACUUCCUAGAGACUUGCUCAAUAAUUGUAACCAAAAUGCUGACAGUGAUAUGGACAGUGAAAAUCCAGGCUGAUGUGGUCUCAGAUGGAGAUGAGGAACUUAUUGGGAACCAGAGUAACGGUCACUCUUGCUAUGAUUUAGCAGAGACUGGCAGCAUUGUGCCCCUGCCCUAGAGAUGUAUGGAACUUUGAACUUGAGAGAUGAUUUAGGGUACCUGGCAGAAGAAAUUUCUAAGCAGCAAAGCAUUCAAGAUGUGACCUGGUAUUUUUCUAAAAGUAUAUGCUCAUAUGUAUGAAGAGACGGUGUGAAAUUGGAACUUAUGUUUAAAAGGGAAGCAGAACAUAAAAGUUUGGAAAUUUUGCAGCCUCACCAUGCUAUAGAAAAGACAAACCCAUUUUGGGGGGAGAAAUUCAAGCCAGUGGUAGAAAUUUACAUAAAUAACAAGAAGCCAAAUGCUAAUAGCCAAGACAAUGGGGAAAAUGUCUCCCAGGGCAUGUCAGAGAUCUUCAUGGCUGCCCCUCCAGUACAGGCCUGGAGGUCUAAGAGGGAAAAAUGGUUUCAUGGGCCAGUCCCAGAGCCCUGCUGCUAACUGCAUCCUUGGGACUUGGUGCCCCGCAUCCCAGCCACUCCAGCUCCAGCUGUGGCUGUGGCUAAAAGGGGCCAAUGUACAACUCGGGCCAUGGCUUCAGAGGGUGCAAGCCACAAGCCUUGGUGGAUUCCACAUGGUGUUGGGUCUGUGGGUGCACAAAAGGCAAGAGAAGAGGUUUGGGAGCCUCCACCUUGAUUUCAGAGGAUGUAUGGAAAUGCCUGGAUGUCCAGGCAGGACUCCGCUACAGGGCCAGAGUCCUCAUGGAGACCCUCUACUAGGGCAGUGCAGAGGGGGAAAUGUGGGACUGGAACCCUCACAGAGAGUCUCCACUAGGGCACUGCCUAAUGGAGCUGUGGGAAGAGGGCCAUCAUCCUCCAGACCCCACAAGGGUAGAUCCACUGACAGCUUGCACUGUGUGCCUGCAAAAGUUGCAGGCACUCAAUGCCAGCCCAUUAAAGCAGCUGUGGGGGCUGUAUCCUGCAGAGCCAUGGGGCAGAGCUGCCAAAGGCCUUAGGAGGCCACCCCUUGCAUCAGCGUGCCCUGGAUGUGAGACAUGGAAUCAAAGGAUAUGGGAGCUUGAAGAUUUCAUGACUUCCCUGUUGGGUUUCAGACUUGCAUGGGGCCUGUAGCCCAUUUGUUUUGGCUAUUUCUCCCAUUUGCAACAGGAACAUUUACCCAUUCCCUGUACUCUCAUUGUACCUUGGAAGAAACUAACUUGUUUUUUAUUUUACAGGCUCAUAGGUGGAAUGGACUUGCCUUGUCUCAGAUAAGACUUUGGACUUUUCAGUUAAUGCUGGAAGGAGUUAAGACUUUGGGGGACUGUUGGGAAGGCAUGAUUGUGUCUUGACAUGUGAGAAUAAUAUGAGAUUUGGGAGAGGCUGGGGAGAAUGAUAUGGUUUGGCUCUGUACCCCCAUCCAAAUCUCAUGUUGAAUUGUAAUUCCCAGUGUUGGGAGGGGACCUGGUAGGAGGUGAUUGGAUCAUGGGAGCAAAUUUCCCCUUGCUGCUCUCGUGAUAGUGAGUUCUCACAAGAUCUGAUGGUUUAAAAGUGUGUGGCACAUUCCCCUUCACAUGCUGUUUCUCCUGUCACUAUGUGAAGAUGUGCUUGCUUCCCCUUUGCCUUCUACCAUGACUGUAAGAUUCCUGAGGCCUCCCCCGCCAUGCUUCCUGUACAGCCUGCAGAACUGAGUCAAUUAAACAUUGCUUCUUUAUAAACUA